AGAACCUGUGAAAGAGUACUCAAUGAAUAAUCCUUGGAUAUGGUAUUCUAUGAGUGCCAUUACCUUUGUAACCAUAAUAGUACUGUCGUGCUGUGAAGGUAUCAGACUAAAGUCUCCAAUGAGUAUGCUUUUCCUCGGUAUAUUUACUUUGUGUGAGUCAGUUUUGCUUGGAGCAACAGCUAGGUA